rnacentral:tRNA from 1 species
GCCUUCGUGGUGCACACUCGACUCAUGACCGAGAGAUACGUGGUUCGAUUCCCGGCGAAGGCG